AUUGAACGCUGGCGGCAGGCCUAACACAUGCAAGUCGAGCGGAUGAAGGGAGCUUGCUCCUGGAUUCAGCGGCGGACGGGUGAGUAAUGCCUAGGAAUCUGCCUGGUAGUGGGGGAUAACGUCCGGAAACGGGCGCUAAUACCGCAUACGUCCUGAGGGAGAAAGUGGGGGAUCUUCGGACCUCACGCUAUCAGAUGAGCCUAGGUCGGAUUAGCUAGUUGGUGGGGUAAAGGCCUACCAAGGCGACGAUCCGAAACUGGUCUGAGAGGAUGAUCAGUCACACUGGAACUGAGACACGGUCCAGACUCCUACGGGAGGCAGCAGUGGGGAAUAUUGGACAAUGGGCGAAAGCCUGAUCCAGCCAUGCCGCGUGUGUGAAGAAGGUCUUCGGAUUGUAAAGCACUUUAAGUUGGGAGGAAGGGCAGUAAGUUAAUACCUUGCUGUUUUGACGGUACCAACAGAAUAAGCACCGGCUAACUUCGUG
rnacentral:rRNA from 1 species